UCUUGACGGAUCUAAAAUGGCGAACACUUACCCGGCAAAUGCCUUCGCUCAAAGCGUCAAUCCCUUCCCACGUAUCGAACAACAGGGAUUCUUGAGCAGGACUUUCAGAAAAUGGUUUGGAUACUAAUCUGCUUUCUCGUUCACUCAAAUUUAAAUUUUUUUUAAAGUUUAUUCUAUUUAUCAUAAGUUUACUUUAUUCAAGUUGAUCUUAAAUCAAGUUCAUAAUGUGUUUUAUCCUUUUUGAAUGAUUGUAAACAUCCCUGCCAAAUAGCAAUAAUGAUAUAGCAUGGAUUUGAAAACAUUUACUAUUUUCAAAUGAUUAAUUUUAAAUAUACUUGCCAAAUAUACCACCAAAUAUGAUUGUAAAUAUUUAUAUAAUGAUUUUUUCUUUCAAAAUAAUUGUGAUAACUGUAUGUUGCCAAAUGUUUUGAUAUGACAAUUGCAUAUGAUUGUAAAUAUCUUGGAAAUACCACUGAGUUGUAAAUAAGGUUACAAACAUGAUGUUUAUAUGCUGCGACAUUCAAAGACGUUCUUUUCAAAUCAUUUUACGUUGUAAGUAUUUAUAUACAACUGACUUUGCAAACUUAGCCGCCGAUUCAGUCUAAAAAUUGUUUCCGCUAUAUCGAUAUGUCCUGACUUUUCAGUUAAAGCCUUUCAUGCCUGUUUCAUUAAGUUAAGUGGUAUUUGUUUGCAAACAUGUUUGCAAACGUGUUUGCUUGCAGUUCCACGAUUCUUAUAGACACAGCUUUAACGUUUUCAGUUUUUUGCAAGUACCGUAAAAUUCCGAUUACAAGAACCCACCCACCCUUCCCCGAUUAUUCUACAGACACAAGCUCUAUUACCAAUAUGAAUUCCUCUAAUAGUACCCACGUAACCGCUCACAAAAAAGUAGGGGAGGGG